UACGUAGGGGGCUAGCGUUGUCCGGAAUCAUUGGGCGUAAAGAGCGUGUAGGCGGCCCGGUAAGUCCGCUGUGAAAGUCCAGGGCUCAACCCUGGAAUGCCGGUGGAUACUGUCGGGCUCGAGUCCGGAAGAGGAGUGUGGAAUUCCUGGUGUAGCGGUGAAAUGCGCAGAUAUCAGGAGGAACACCAAUGGCGAAGGCAGCACUCUGGGACGUGACUGACGCUGAGACGCGAAAGCGUGGGGAGCAAACGGG
rnacentral:rRNA from 1 species